GACGAACGCUGGCGGCGUGCUUAACACAUGCAAGUCGAACGGAAAGGCCUGCUUUCCCUUGUGGAUUGCGGGUACUCGAGUGGCGAACGGGUGAGUAACACGUGAGUUAUCUGCCCCCAACUUGGGUAUAAGCCUGGGAAACUGGGUCUAAUUCCCGAUAGGACUGCAGGGUGGUGCCUGUGGUGGAACACGAUUCUCUAGUGGUUGGGGAUGAGCUCGCGGCCUUUCAGCUUGUUGGUGGGGUAAUGGCCUACCAAGGCGGCGACGGGUAGCCGGCUUGAGAGGGGGGACGGCGACAUUGGGACUGGGUUACGGCCCAGACGGCUACGGGAGGCAGGAGUGGGGAGUAAUGGAGCAUGGGCGGAAGCCUGCUGCAGCGACGCCGUGUGGGGGAUGACGGCCUUCGGGUGGUAAACUCCUUUCGAACGCGAGGAAGCCACCUGGUUGGAAGGGUGGUGACGGUAGUGGUAGAAGAAGCACCGGCUAACUACGUG
rnacentral:rRNA from 1 species